rnacentral:rRNA from 1 species
CCUACGGGUGGCUGCAGUGGGGAAUAUUGGACAAUGGGGGGAACCCUGAUCCAGCCAUGCCGCGUGUGUGAAGAAGGCCCUCGGGUUGUAAAGCACUUUCAGUGAGGAAGAACGCCUGGUGGUUAAUACCCAUCAGGAAAGACAUCACUCACAGAAGAAGCACCGGCUAACUCCGUGCCAGCAGCCGCGGUAAUACGGAGGGUGCGAGCGUUAAUCGGAAUUACUGGGCGUAAAGCGCGCGUAGGUGGAUUGAUAAGCCGGUUGUGAAAGCCCCGGGCUCAACCUGGGAACGGCAUCCGGAACUGUCAAGCUAGAGUGCAGGAGAGGAAGGUAGAAUUCCCGGUGUAGCGGUGAAAUGCGUAGAGAUCGGGAGGAAUACCAGUGGCGAAGGCGGCCUUCUGGACUGACACUGACACUGAGGUGCGAAAGCGUGGGUAGCAAACAGGAUUAGAUACCCCAGUAGUC